rnacentral:rRNA from 1 species
CUACGGAAGGUCCGGGCGCUAUCCGGAUUUAUUGGGUUUAAAGGGAGCGCAGGCGGAGAUGCAAGCGUGACGUCAAAUUUCGGGGCUCAACCCCGUCUCGCGUCGCGAACUGCGUCCCUUGGUUGCGGGAAGGGGAGGGGGAACUCGGGGUGUAGCGGGGAAAUGCAUAGAUGUCACGAAGAACUCCGAUCGCGAAGGCAGCCUUCCGGCCCGUCAACGACGCUCAUGCUCGAAGGUGCGGGUAUCAAACAGGAUUAGAUACCCUGGUAGUCCGCACAGUAAACGAUGGACACCCGCGGUUUGGCCUGUAUGGCUGAGCCGCCAAGCGAAAGCGUUAAGUGUCCCACCUGGGGAGUACGCCGGCAACGGUGAAACUCAAAGGAAUUGGCGGGG